rnacentral:misc_RNA from 1 species
CAACCCUCAAGCCCCCGGGCUUGGUGUUGGGGAUCGGCCGCCCUCCGGCGCGCCGGCCCCGAAAUCUAGUGGCGGUCUCGCUGUAGCCUCCUCUGCGUAGUAACACACCUCGCACCGGAACGCAGCCUGGCCACGCCGUUAAACCCCCCACUUCUGAA